rnacentral:rRNA from 1 species
AUUGAACGCUGGCGGCAUGCCUUACACAUGCAAGUCGAACGGCAGCGCGGGGCAACCUGGCGGCGAGUGGCGAACGGGUGAGUAAUAUAUCGGAACAUGCCCAGAAGUGGGGAUAACGUAGCGAAAGUUACGCUAAUACCGCAUACGAUCUACGGAUGAAAGUGGGGGACCGCAAGGCCUCAUGCUUUUGGAGUGGCCGAUAUCUGAUUAGCUAGUUGGUGGGUAAAGGCCUACCAAGGCGACGAUCAGUAGCUGGUCUGAGAGGACGACCAGCCACACUGGAACUGAGACACGGUCCAGACUCCUACGGGAGGCAGCAGUGGGGAAUUUUGGACAAUGGGGGGCAACCCUGAUCCAGCAAUGCCGCGUGUGUGAAGAAGGCC